GACGAACGCUGGCGGCGUGCUUAACACAUGCAAGUCGAGCGGUAAGGCCCUUUCGGGGGUACGACGAGCGGCGAACGGGUGAGUAACACGUGGGUGACCUGCCCUCAGCUCUGGGAUAAGCCCGGGAAACCGGGUCUAAUACUGGAUAUGACUCCAUGACGCAUGUUGUGGGGUGGAAAGCCUUGUGCGGCUGAGGAUGGGCCCGCGGCCUAUCAGCUUGUUGGUGGGGUGAUGGCCUACCAAGGCGACGACGGGUAGCCGGCCUGAGAGGGCGACCGGCCACACUGGGACUGAGACACGGCCCAGACUCCUACGGGAGGCAGUAGUGGGGAAUCUUGCGCAAUGGGCGAAAGCCUGACGCAGCGACGCCGCGUGAGGGAUGACGGCCUCGG
rnacentral:rRNA from 1 species